CUCUUCCUCAGCACCUCCACACCAAAUUCCAUUUUGCUUCUGAAGAAGACUUGCUGUCUGAUCUCCAAAGAAGACAAGACAUUUCAAACAGAACACCGGGCAGCCUCAGCCCCGACGCCCCAGGGCCCCUCCCCUCCUGGUGAUUGGCAGCUGUUGUCUGGAGUCCAGCUCAACGUGAAGGGCUGGUUCUGGUUGGAGUGGAUCUGCCUUAAAUAUAAUAGAACCAACAAUGACCCCAGAAAGGAGCUCCUUCCAGAAAACAAGAAGAAAGCAGAUGAGAGACAGAAAUGG